AGCCAUCCUUUAAAGAAAGCGUAAUAGCUCACUGGUCUAAUCAAGCAAUCCUGCGCCGAAGAUGUAACGGGGCUCAAGCCAUGCACCGAAGCUGCGGACUCGAAAGAGUGGUAGCGGAGCGUUCCGUAAGCCUGCGAAGGGAGACUCGUGAGAGCUCCUGGAGGUAUCGGAAGUGAGAAUGCUGACAUGAGUAGCGAUAAGAAGCGUGAGAGACGCUUCCGCCGUAAGUCCAAGGGUUCCUGCGCAAGGUCAAUCCGCGCAGGGUUAGCCGGCCCCUAAGGUGAGGGCGACAGCCGUAACCGAUGGGAACCACGUCAAUAUUCGUGGGCCUGCUGGAAGUGACGGAUCCGAAAAGUGGCUCUAGCUCGUUGGCGAAUGCUAGGGCGGCCCAAGGGUUCCAGGAAAUAACUCCAGCGUAUAGACCGUACCCUAAACCGACACAGGUGGACUGGUAGAGUAUACCAAGGCGCUUGAGAGAACUAUGCUGAAGGAACUCGGCAAUUUACCUCCGUAACUUCGGGAUAAGGAGGCCUUCCGUUUGGGCAACCAGGCGGGAGGGGCACAGACUAGGGGGUGGCGACUGUUUACCUAAAACACAGGACUCUGCGAAGUCGCAAGACGACGUAUAGGGUCUGACGCCUGCCCGGUGCCGGAAGGUUAAGAGGAGAGGUUCACGCCUUGAAUCGAAGCCCCGGUAAACGGCGGCCGUAACUAUAACGGUCCUAAGGUAGCGAAAUUCCUUGUCGGGUAAGUUCCGACCUGCACGAAUGGCGUAACGACUUCCCCGCUGUCUCCAACACAGGCUCGGCGAAAUUGAAUUCCCCGUGAAGAUGCGGGGUACCCGCAGUUAGACGGAAAGACCCCGUGCACCUUUACUACAACUUUGCAGUGGCAUUAGAGAUUGGAUGUGUAGGAUAGGCGGGAGCCUUUGAAGCUCGGGCGCUAGCUCGGGUGGAGGCAACCUUGAAAUACCGCCCUUUUGAUCUUUGAUGUCUAACCGCGGUCGGUUAUCCCGAUCCGGGACCCUGCAUGGUGGGUAGUUUGACUGGGGCGGUCGCCUCCCAAAGAGUAACGGAGGCGCGCGAUGGUGGGCUCAAGCUGGUCGGAAAUCAGCUGUUGAGUGCAAUGGCACAAGCCCGCCUGACUGCGAGACUGACAAGUCGAGCAGGGACGAAAGUCGGCCAUAGUGAUCCGGUGGUUCCGCGUGAGUGGGCCAUCGCUCAACGAAUAAAAGGUACGCCGGGGAUAACAGGCUGAUACCACCCAAGCGUCCACAGCGACGGUGGUGUUUGGCACCUCGAUGUCGACUCAUCACAUCCUGGGGCUGGAGCAGGUCCCAAGG
rnacentral:rRNA from 1 species